UACGUAGGGUGCAAGCGUUAAUCAGAAUUACUGGGCGUAAAGCGUGCGCAGGCGGUCUGUUAAGACCGAUGUGAAAUCCCCGGGCUUAACCUGGGAACUGCAUUGGUGACUGGCAGGCUUUGAGUGUGGCAGAGGGAGGUAGAAUUCCACGUGUAGCAGUGAAAUGCGUAGAGAUGUGGAGGAAUACCGAUGGCGAAGGCAGCCCUGCCAGUGGUCGA
rnacentral:rRNA from 1 species